UAAUCAUACCUACUUCAGAUAUUACUUCCAUCUGUUACUCCCUUGGAAGCAAUUCCUUGUUAUGAUUACAUUAUUCAGUAAGAUAUGGAUAAACAUAUUAUAUAUAUUUAACUAAUCUUUAGGUUAGCAUUAUAUUCUGUUCUCUCUCUGAGUCAAAGUUGGAAUAAAUGACAUUCAAAUAAAUGUAAAUAUCACAGUAUUACAGUUGAACUCAGCACAUUGCUCCUGUCUUUAAUUCCUCAGGACUUUCUUCAGAAAACCACUACACUAGUGCAUUUUACACAAUAAGAGCUAUUUCUAUGUCACUGUUCCAUGAGAGGUGGGUCAUUAAAUCCCCUAUAGCAAGUCCUGCAACUAUUUAUAAAGGAUUGGGACGGAGCCAUGUGCUUUUCAGGCCAAUAACGCAGUGGUUGUCAGAACAAAAAAGACAUCUUUGGAGCCCUAAGUUAUGAAAACAUAUCAAAUGUAGGAUGUGCUUACGUGUAUGUGGUUUAUGUUUCUGUGCCGCUGCAACAGAGUUAACAUUGAUCUGUUUGAAAUCCACUAACAUGACUCCCCCACAGAGCAGAGAUAUCUAUAGCCUUGAUGAGACACUGGAGCUACAGAUGGUGACCAGACUCAGGCUGGAGAUCCAGUCAGAAGAGCUGUUUUCACUCUUUCUGGCAGUCUGCCGCUCUGCGAGGACUGAUGGCUGUGAGGCGACGUGUCCUCUGAGAACACAACACAAGGAGCUCUGAUCAAGACCCAGUAUUCAAGGCAUCGUCUUUCAAAACAUUCCACUACAACACAUUUCCAGUCCAGGAACUAUGUGUUGUGCUGCGAUAAACUUUUGGGAAAUGAGUAACCUCCAUUUGUGGAUGAAUCAGCUCGGCCUGGAAUGUCGAAAUAUCCUCUGAAGCACCCCCACUCUACUGGCUUUCAUGAAAGCUGGUUCACAUUUUUCAUAAAAAAAACCCACCAAAACAAUGGAGAACAUGCACAAACCAGAAAGGUAUUUCGGAAUAUAAACAACAGCAAAGCAACAGAAAAGGCCUCAUUGUUCCUUUCAUUCUUCGUCACACCCCAACCUCUGGUAUAGAUGGAGGAGGAACUUGCAGGGGAAAAAUCAGCCGCACCUCCACUCUUACAAAUGUCUCCUGCAUUACUUUGAGCGUGUGCACGUGGAGGAAACAUGAGGGAAUCAACAGCAAAUGCAGAAGAACAUGCUCUUAAGAAAUAUGGGAGUCAGCUGGCAGGACACCAGACGGCUGCACACAACCACCACCACCCCCUGCUCCUUUUAGAAAGGGCCUCGUCUCCACGGCGACUGAAGACAAAAAAGGAGGCCCUGGCACAGCUGGUCUGUAGCAACAGAGAGAGAGAGACAGGAGGAAAAAAAAACAGUGAAUGAGUGUUCAGAUAUACAGACAGCACAGAGGGUGAGGGGGAGUGAGAGACAGCGAAAGCAGCAGUGGAGGAGUCGAUUUGGGAAGAGGAAGGAGAGGAAGGAGAGGGAGGGUGGAACAGGAGGAGGAGAGGGACGUACACAAACUCCCAGAGAACAGGAGGAGAAAGUGGAGCAAGGCUGCAGAAGGAACAGUUGUACAGGAACGGCUGCUGAUCUGCUCAAAGAGUCAAAUUACCUCCAGAGCUGGUGUCUCAGGCUGAACUGGAACAGGCUAAUUAGAUGAAGAGCCUGAGAGCAGCAGGCGCCACAAACAAAACUUGAGAAAAAGGGAGAAAGAGAAGGGGGAGGGUGAAAACAAGAAGAAGUCUGUGAAACAUCGUGGCGACAGUUUUAUGCAUUGCUGAGUUUGGUUCUCCUUUCAGAGAAGAGUUCAGAGAUGGAAACAGUGACACUCACUCUGAAGCUGCACACGUUCACUGCAGAGUGAAACAAGUUCUGCAGAUGCCCGUUUGCUUCGAAAGAAAAGCCUCAGCCAUUACUGCAUCUUGUCUUGCCUCACCUGCAUCUGAAAGUCAGCAUGGAUGCGAAAAAUGAGAUGAUGGAUAUUCUUCAGAAGGUGUGGACCAAACUGCAGGGUCUCCCACAAGCAACUUCGCUGGAGCUGGGAGCCUUCUUUGUGCUCAUCCUGUUUGUUGCCAUGGUUAUCUUCAUGGUCGUGUUGUCCUGCGUCCACUGCUGUUGCUGUGGGAAGCCAAAAUACCAGGGCUCAAGAGUCCAGCCUCUACAGCCCAUCUGAGAAGAAGACAGAGGCAAGAAUCCACCAACAAAUGCAACCUUCACCUUUCUUUCUGCCCUCCAUGGAAUCACCCACAUGGCAAAGCGCAUUUAGCCACACAUUGUAAAUGAGUAGACGAUUCUUUUCAGAGCCACUGAUUUCUUUGAAGGGCAUCAAAUGGGAUUAAUCAAGGGAAGACAGAGAGGUGAUUGCCAUGUAUCCAACUCUGGGUUAAAGACUGAAUCAGCAUCCAGAGAGCCACUGGAAUCCAUAUAAAUCACCAGACUGGCACGACUCAUCAAGAUUCAUCACAAAGGAGAAUAAUGAAACACUGUGUGGCUGCAUUUCAUGGACACAAAGAUAUAAGAAAGCUGAUUUGUGCUCAAACGUCACAGAGACACCAUUAUUACAAAUGUAGUAGUUUGGUAUGCUGUUGACAUUCACUGAGAAUGUGAACAACAACAAUGAAAAUGUACAUUCCAAUAAGUAAAUGUGUGUUGGACUUGAAGUUAUGUGUUUUGAACUACAAAAAAAGAGAGAGAAAGACAGAGCGCCCUCUGCUGGUGAAUUUGUGAGCGUUUGUUUUUGAAAGUUGUGCCAAUAUAAGAUGUGAUCUGUAUAUUCUCUUUAUAUGAAUGAAACUGUCUGCUAUGUUUGGUUGCUUUUAUUUGUAUAAAUGUAUUAAAUGUUCAUUAUAUUUCAAGAAAAACAAAUACAUGUUUCUGUUUGUUGGAUCAUAUGUAAAGAUAGCAGAGGGUGUGUGAAAAUGGUCAUAAUUGUAAAUACUGCUUGUUUUUAUUCCAAUAACAACCAUUUCAUCUAAAUCCCAUGAGCGAAACACUGAACAAGUGUGCAAGCCUUAUCAUUAGACUUCUAUUUGCCUCUGCCAGUCAGUAUUUUGAGUUUAAACAUUAACCAGGCGCUGUUGCUUUCAUUUUGCCCACACAGAGUAAAUGUCAUUGUCACCUGGAAAGCAACAGGAACUGUUCAGAGUUUGGAGUUAUAGAAUGCCUCUUCUGUUCACAGGGUGAUAGGAAACUGCAAUGUCUGGGUUUUUUAAAUAGUUCUGGAGCUGUGCGUGGAUCAAAACAGUAGCUGAAGCUGGGCUCUCACACACUACAGUUUAUUCACCGUCUGUUAGGACUCAGUGAGCUGUGAGAGGAUCAUUUAGCAGGACAUGGCGGUGGAGAGUUUAGUAGAGCAGCAGAAACCAACAGGCUCACCGGAGGACUGGGCGGAGUGGUUCCUGUAUCGUCUACAACGGGAGCCGUGGGCACUGGGUGGUUUUGUGGUCAUUGGAGUGUUCGCUCUGGGAACCCUGUCUCUGGCAAUCUUCGCUCUCCUGUAUGGAUGCUGUUGCAGCCCUAGAGAAGGAAAACCAAACAAGAAGAGGCAGCAGAAGAAGUCAGCGGAUACAGUGAUCUAGAUGUGUGAAGAAAACAGACUCUUGCUGCAGAAUGAAUUUCAACUUAACAGGGAAUUGUUUUGUUUUUAUAUAUGUAUGCGGUGGAAAUCAAAGUUGAGAGUUUUCAGUUUUAAAUAUACCAUUUUUUUCAAAAUAACUUUACAUCAAAUCAUUUUUUCCCCAGUUGUCUUUAUUUCUGUGUUUGGGGAACAGUGGGAUCACAUCGCCAAAAUCUAAUCAUUGUUUAGCUUUGCAGCGGGUUGAUGAUCAGAAUGGUGCACAUGUUACAAACUAAUUUGAACCAGCACUGCUUUUCUAGGUCAGCUAUAUAACAACCUUUUAAAAAAUUUAUUUUCAAAUGAAAGUUAGCUUUUGACUUGUAAUAUCUAAUGUCAUUUCUAAAUAUUUGUAGCCAUCCCCUGUCCAAAAUGUGAACAAAGUCAAUGCUUGUCUUGUAUAAUUUUUAAGAGCCAACAUAAUAAAGGCACUUUAUGAAAAACAUACAAA